rnacentral:rRNA from 1 species
GACGGAGGGUGCAAGCGUUGUUCGGAAUUACUGGGCGUAAAGCGUACGUAGGCGGCGGAUUAAGUCGAAUGUUAAAGCCUGGGGCUCAACCCCAGAGAUGCACUCGAUACUGGUUUGCUAGAGGGCGAUAGAGGAAAGCGGAAUUCCCAGUGUAGCGGUGAAAUGCGUAGAUAUUGGGAGGAACAUCAGUAGCGAAGGCGGCUUUCUGGGUCGCACCUGACGCUGAGGUACGAAAGCGUGGGGAGCAAACGGG